rnacentral:rRNA from 1 species
UACGUAGGGACCAAGCGUUGUUCGGAUUUACUGGGCGUAAAGGGCGCGUAGGCGGCGCGACAAGUCACUUGUGAAAUCUCUGAGCUUAACUCAGAACGGCCAAGUGAUACUGCUGUGCUAGAGUGCAGAAGGGGCAAUCGGAAUUCUUGGUGUAGCGGUGAAAUGCGUAGAUAUCAGGAGGAACACCGGUGGCGAAGGCGGGUCUCUGGGCCGUAACUGACGCUGAGGAGCGAAAGCGUGGGGAGCGAACAGG